rnacentral:rRNA from 1 species
GACGAACCGUGCAAACGUUAUUCGGAAUCACUGGGCUUAAAGGGCGCGUAGGCGGGUCCUCAAGUCAGGGGUGAAAUCCCACGGCUCAACCGUGGAAGUGCCUUUGAUACUGGGGGUCUCGAGGGAGGUAGGGGCGUGCGGAACUUCCGGUGGAGCGGUGAAAUGCGUAGAUAUCGGAAGGAACAUCAGUGGCGAAAGCGACUUCCUGGACCAGUACCGACGUUCAGGCACGAAAGCGUGGGGAGCAAACAGG